AGUAGUUUGAUCCUGGCUCAGAACGAACGCUGGCGGCAGGCCUCAAACAUGCAAGUCUAGGGGGUGUAGCAAUACAUCACCGGCGGACGGGUGCGUAACACGUGGGAAUAUACCUUUGGUUCGGAACAACGCAGGGAAACUUGCGCUAAUACCGAAUGUGCCCUUACGGGGAAAGAUUUAUCGCCAAAGGAUUAGCCCGCGUAGGAUUAGCUAGUUGGUGAGGUAAUGGCUCACCAAGGCUCCGAUCCUUAGCUGUUCUGAGAGGAAGAUCAGCCACACUGGGACUGAGACACGGCCCAGACUCCUACGGGAGGCAGCAGUUGGGAAUCUUGGACAAUGGGGGAAACCCUGAUCCAGCCAUGCCGCGUGAGUGAUGAAGGCCUUCGGGUUGUAAAACUCUUUCGACGGGGACGAUAAUGACGGUACCCGUAGAAGAAGCUCCGGCUAACUUCGUG
rnacentral:rRNA from 1 species